rnacentral:tRNA from 1 species
GGGGUUGUGUAGCUUGUCUGUGAGCGAUAGCAACCCGAGAUCUCAAUCAUAGACUGUGCUCGGAGAAGUCUAUAUGGCAACACUCUUGGACAGGGGUUCGAUUCCCCUCAUCUCCACCA